UGCAGGGAUACUGAUUAGUCGCACAGACAACUUCAGAUGCAAAGAGAAUAAAUGCAACUUGAAAGUAACAAGGAAGGGUGUAGACUACAUAGUUACUCUUGGUGAAGGAGCCUGAUGAAUCCUUGUUCAAGUUGGUUACCUCUAACCUCGGCGUGGAAUAAAAUGGGGAGAAACGUACAACGGAGAAAGACAUUGACAGUCUGUCUCCAACAGAAGAUAAAGAUCCAGGAGGGUCCAUGGCCAAAGAAAAUGCUGUUAAUGCUAUAAACCACAAACGAUGGCCUCUUCAUGUUUUUCGGACUGUAAUGUUAAUAUUAGAACAUCAGAGAUGUUUAGAGUUGAUGGCUUUUAAAUAUCAGGAGCAGCUUCUGACAGGCGGAGACUGAAAACCACAAGAGUACACAAUAGUGAACAUUUGUUAACAGCUAUUAGCCCUUUA